rnacentral:rRNA from 1 species
CUCUUUUAUUGAGAGUUUGAUCCUGGCUCAGGAUGAACGCUGGCGGCGUGUCUAAGGCAUGCAAGUCGAGCGACGUGCCCCGAUACACUUUGUAGAUAUAGCGCAAAUGCGCGGAUGUCUCUAGAGUGUAUCGGGAUUACGAGCGGCAAACGGGAGCGUAACACAUUGGUAAUCUACCUCUGAGUCGAGCAUAGCUCCAGGAAACUGGAAUUAAUACUCGAUGGUCAUGGGGGGUCGCAAGACAUUCCCAUGUAAAGAUUUAUCACUCAGAGAGGAGCCUAUGUCCUAUCAGCUUGUUGGUGAGGUAAAAGCUCACCAAGGCUAUGACGGGUACCGGGCGUGAGAGCGUGACCCGGCUCACUGGGACUGAGACACUGCCCAGACUCCUACGGGAGGCUGCAGUCAAGAAUAUUCCGCAAUGGCCGAAAGGCUGACGGAGCGACGCCGCGUGCAGGAAGACGCCCUUCGGGGUGUAAACUGCUUUUCUCAGGGAAGAAUUCGUGACGGUACCUGAGGAAUAAGAGGUUGCUAACUCUGUGCCAGCAGCAGCGGUAAUACAGAGACCUCAAGCGUUAUCCGGAUUCAUUGGGCGUAAAGCGUCCGCAGGUGGACAAGUAAGUUGGUGGUUAAAUCCUCGGGCUUAACCCGAGAACCGCCAUCAAAACUACUUGACUAGAGGCUGGAAGAGGCAUAUGGAACUGCCGGUGUAGUAGUAAAAUGCGUUGAUAUCGGCAGGAACACCAAAGGCGAAGGCAGUAUGCUGGAACAGUCCUGACACUCAGGGACGAAAGCGUGGGUAGCGAAUGGGAUUAGAUACCCCAGUAGUCCACGCCCUAAACUAUGUGCACUAGGUAUUGGAAGUAUCGACCCUUUCAGUGCCGUUUAAAAAAGCUAACGCGUUAAGUGCACCGCCUGGGGAGUACGGCCGCAAGGCUAAAACUCAAAGGAAUAGACGGGGACCCGCACAAGCGGUGGAUCAUGUGGUUUAAUUCGAUGAUACGCGGCGAACCUUACCUGGGCUCAACUACUAGCUGCAAUCCGGCGGAAACGCCGGACGCCUUCGAGGGUGCUAGAUAGGUGCUGCAUGGUUGCCGUCAGCUCGUGCCGUGAGGUGUACCCUUAAGUGGGGUAACGAGCGCAACCCUCGUCGUGUGUUACAUUGUACACACGAGACUGCCAGCGCAAGCUGGAGGAAGGUGGGGACGACGUCAAAUCAGCAUGGCUCUUACGUCCAGGGCGACACACAUGAUACAAUGGCCGGUACAGAGGGUAGCCAAACCGCGAGGUGGAGCUAAUCCCAGAAAACCGGUCUCAGUUCAGAUUGCAGGCUGCAACUCGCCUGCAUGAAGUUGGAAUCGCUAGUAAACGCGCAUCAGCCACGGCGCGUUGAAUACGUUCUCGGGUCUUGUACUCACCGCCCGUCACACCACGAAAGUUGGCAGCACCCGAAGGCUCCCGUAAGGGGGACUAAGGUGAGGUCAGUAAUCAGGGUGAAGUCGUAACAAGGCAUCCGUAGCGGAAGCUGUGGAUGGAUCACCUCCUUUCU